rnacentral:rRNA from 1 species
UGGGGAAUAUUGGACAAUGGGCGAAAGCCUGAUCCAGCCAUGCCGCGUGUGUGAAGAAGGUCUUCGGAUUGUAAAGCACUUUAAGUUGGGAGGAAGGGUUGUAGAUUAAUACUCUGCAAUUUGACGUACCGACAGAAUA